AGUCUUAUAUUCAAAAAUGAUAUUAAAUUGCAAAUUUAAAGGUAAUUAAAUUUUAAGGCUUA
rnacentral:tRNA from 1 species